GCCCUCUCCCCCCCACCACCGUUUUACAGCCCCAUUGAUUGACUUAAAAUAGGUUUUGAGCACGAAUUGACUACAAACUACAUCUCAGCCAUAAUGCCUUCCGAUUCUUACCAGCCAACAUUAUGGCUUCUCGCCACUGGAGUGCAGCAGAGUCACCUCAAGCUGAUUAUUAAUUUUCCCAGCGAAUAAAACUGAAACAUCGACAAGCUAACAAGCUAAAGAGCGAAGUUCCGUAAUGUUUCAAUCGAGGACUUUUACCGUCUCCUGCCCCCUGAUUUGAUGCCACAGCUUCGACUCCAUGCAGCUUGUGUUUUGUCCAUGUUUGGAAGCACCUAUCUGUGCGAACAGAUGUUUUCAAUAAUGAAUUUAAACAAGACCAAGCACAGAUCGCGCAUUACUGACGAAAAUCUACACGCCGUUUUGCGGAUUUCUUCAGCACAAGAACUAAAACCAGACAUGGACGAACUGACCAGGGGAAAACUAUGCCAGACAUCCGGCCAGAAAACAUUGAACACAACACAAUGAGGAUGUGUUUGGACUCCAAACUACUGCCGACUGCUGGCCGGGAGAAAAGCUGCGGUCAGAGACUUUGGAGUUGGAGGAGGAUCGGAGGAGACUCAUGCAGAAUGGUACCAAGACGGGAUUCGAACCAAAGACCUUCUUGCUGCAAAGCAACCGUGCUUGAUUUUGAUAUUGAUUAAAUAUUUUUGACUAUAUAAUGAAGCUAAGUUGGUUUCACAUAGUUAAAAUUGAACAUAUAAAUGACCCUAAAGAUGUAAUACUGUCCUUUUUUAUGGUGUUUCUGUGUGUAAUUAUUCAGAGAUAGGACUUUGUCUGAUGCCUCAUAACUCACCCUACGUCUCAUUUCAUGCCAUUGGUUAGUUUCUCUAAAUAGCAAUGAAUAGCAGGAAUAUUUUUGAUACUUAAGUGCUUCUGUGAACAGGUAAGGACAGAUAUGUGCUGUAUAAAACAUGUUAAUUACAUUUUUUACACAAAAUCAUUCUUAGAUAAUGAGAUUUUAGUCUUAUUUUAUGCUCCUUUCAGAAUUAGCAGUUUUAGAGCCUCUUUUCACUUUAAAUCUAAAUAAACUGCUGCUGGCCACGCCCCUCCAACUCAACCUUUAUUAAACUCGCAAUUGUACGGCCACGGCCGUACAUCUUUUACCCUGAAUCAGACUCAGAAGCAGAAGUAAAGACUCGUGAACAACUAUUAAGAAAGUAGCAAGAGAUUUCUGAAUGGUAAGUCAAUCACAAAACACCUGUUCAAUACAGCGGUAAAAUCAGUUAGCUAGCUUGCUGCUCGUCUGUGGGUGGCGCUCCGCUUGGGUUGCUAAGUGACGGACUGGGCUCGUCUGGGGUUGCUAGGUAACGGGCAGUGCUUGCCCAGCCACUGCGACUUGAUAAUUGUAAAGUUUUUAAAACGACCUGUUGUCCAACCACCUAAAAAUAUUAAACUAUUACCAUAAAACAGUA